UGGGGAAUAUUGCACAAUGGGGGAAACCCUGAUGCAGCGACGCCGCGUGAGCGAAGAAGGUUUUCGAAUCGUAAAGCUCUGUCCUAUGAGAAGAUAAUGACGGUAUCAUAGGAGGAAGCCCCGGCUAAAUACGUGCCAGCAGCCGCGGUAAUACGUAUGGGGCGAGCGUUGUCCGGAAUUAUUGGGCGUAAAGGGUACGUAGGCGGUCUAUUAAGUCAGGUGUGAAAGCGUGAGGCUUAACCUCAUUAAGCACUUGAAACUGAUAGACUUGAGUGAAGGAGAGGAAAGUGGAAUUCCUAGUGUAGCGGUGAAAUGCGUAGAUAUUGGGAGGAAUACCGGUGGCGAAGGCGACUUUCUGGACUUUUACUGACGCUCAGGUACGAAAGCGUGGGGAGCAAACAGG
rnacentral:rRNA from 1 species